GUAAGGAAUAUUGGACAAUGGACGCAAGUCUGAUCCAGCCAUGCCGCGUGAAGGAUUAAGGUCCUCUGGAUUGUAAACUUCUUUUAUAAGGGACGAAAAAAGGCUUUUCUAAGUCGUCUGACGGUACCUUAUGAAUAAGCACCGGCUAACUCCGUGCCAGCAGCCGCGGUAAUACGGAGGGUGCAAGCGUUAUCCGGAUUCACUGGGUUUAAAGGGUGCGUAGGCGGGCAGGUAAGUCAGUGGUGAAAUCCUAGAGCUUAACUCUAGAACUGCCAGUGAUACUAUCUGUCUUGAAUAUUGUGGAGGUAAGCGGAAUAUGUCAUGUAGCGGUGAAAUGCUUAGAUAUGACAUAGAACACCUAUUGCGAAGGCAGCUUACUACGCAUAUAUUGACGCUGAGGCACGAAAGCGUGGGGAUCAAACAGGAUUAGAUACCCUGGUAGUCC
rnacentral:rRNA from 1 species